UAGCGUUCUGUAUGUGUUAGUGGUGUGUGUGUGUGUGUGUGUGUGUGUGUGUGUGUGUGUGUGUGUAUGGGUGUGAAUGUGUAUUAUAUUGCAUACGAGUGUAUGAGAGAUUGUUUUGGCCAUGUGUGUGUUUGGGUGCAUUUGCAUAUAGAAAUAAUAAUAAUAAUAAUAAUAAUAAUAACUCCUUAUAUUUAUAUAGUACUUUUCUAGACACUCAAAGUGAUUUACAUUGUAUGGUGUGUGUGUGUGUGUGUGUGUGUGUGUGUGUGUGUGUGUGUGUGUGUGUGUGGAGGAGUAGCAUCCACCUGGAUGAUGUGACGGAAGUGUAGUGCGCCAGAACGCCCACCACACACCAGCUAUUAGUGGAGAGGAGAGAGUGAUGUAGCCAGUUCAGGGAUGGAGAUUAUUAAGGGGCCAUGAUAGCUAAGGGCCAAUGGGGGAAUUUCACCAGGACACCAGGGUUAUACCCCUACUCCUUUAUGAGCUGUGUGGUGGGAUUUUUACUAACCACAGAGAGUCAGGACCUCUGUUUAACGUCUCACCCAAAAGACCGUACAACGAAAGAUGUGUAUUUGUGUGUUUGUUUUGUUUGUGUAUGUGAGUGGGCAUGUGUGUAUGUCUAUGCACGCAUGUGUAUGUUAGUUUUAUGUGUGAGUGAGUGUGUGUUUAUAUGUGUCUGUUUGUGUGUGUGUGUGUGUGUGUGUUUGGUUGCACACGUGUAUGUGCAUUUGUGUGGGUGUGCAUUGUAUCUCUGCAUGUGAGUGUAUGAGAGGUUUUUUUGUUCAAGUGCAUUUUUGUGUAUAUGUUCUGUGUGUGUGUGUGUGUUUGGGUGCAUAUAUGUGUGUAUGUAUGCAUGUGCAUUUGUGUUGUGUGUGUUUGUGUAUAUGAGUGUGCAUGUGUGUGUGAGCGAGUGUGUGUGUGUAUAUUUGUGUGUGUGUAUGUGUAUAUAUGUGUGUAGAUUUUCUGUGUGUGUUUACGUGUGUAUAUUUGUGUGUGUAUAUAUGUGUGUGUAUCUUUUCUCUGUGUGUGUAGAUUUUGUGUGUGUAUAUGUGUGUAGACUUUCUGUGUGUAUGUGUGUAGAUUUUUUGUGUGUGUGUAAGUGUGUUUGUGUGAGUGUGUGUUUAUGUGUGUGAGUGUGUAUUUAUAUGUGUGUGUUUGUAAGUGUGUGUUUAUAUCUGUGUGUGUGUGUGUGUGUGUGUAAGUGGGUUUUUAUAUGUGUGUGCGCUUGUGUGUCCGUGCGUGUGAGUGUGUGUGUGUGAGAGUAAGGGUGUGUUAUGUGUGUGUGUUUGUAAUUGUGUGUUAAUAUGUGUGUGUUUGUGUGUGUUUAUGUGUGUGUAUGUGUGUGUGAGUGUAAUUGUGUGUUCAUAUAUGUGUGUGUAAGUGUGUGUGCGUGCGUGUGUGUAUGCGUGUGCGUGUGUGUAUGCAUGUGCGUGUGCGUGUGUGCGCGCGUGUGUGUGUGCAUAUGUGUGCGUGUGUGUGUGUGUGUGUGUGUGUGUGUGUGUGUGUGCACGUGUGUGCGUGUGUGUGUGUGUGUGUGUGUGUGUGCGUAUGUGUGUGUCUUCUGAGGGCGUGGGUACGCUGUACGCGGGUGGUUAAGCUGUUAGCCUCAGAUGAAUGCAGGGGGAGCUCAGUCUCCUCUUUGAAGUGUGACAGGAGGAGGGGGAUGUUACCACGCCCACCAGGAGGGGCCUGCAGAGAGGGAGAAACUUUCGCCCUGUUUUUGUGAGGAACACUAGAGGUCCAGCUUGAGUCUCAGAUGCUCCGUUUUAAUUCUUACACUAAUUAUUCACCGGUCCUACAGCAAUGCCAGGGCUUCCUGCUUCCUGCUCCGCUUUACACUGUGAUGCAGUGCGCAGGCUGGAAAGAGUAACAGCAACACACACACACACACACACACACACACACACACACACACACUUAUGUACUCACGAUGCCACUACACACCAUUGCUUAGGAGUUUUUUAAAGUAUGAAUGAAAUCAUGUCUGUACAGUUUCUGUUGUUUAUGCUUACAUUUGUGUCAGUGAGGGCUGAAUGGGGGAACUCCCUUUUCACGCAGACCUCCCAGUGUGUGUUUCUCUCCCUGUCCACACACACACACACACUCUCCGAGGCAUGCUAGGUCGUGUCCGGGACCCACCUCAAAGGGAAACGGAGGCCCAGGUGUGCAGCAGGGGUUGGGGCUGGGACGGGUACAGACAGGCCUCGUCCCAAUCCACUGACAAGCGAAGACACUGCCUUGUUCUUCCUCGACAGACUGAGCGGAAGGCUCGGUUAAAAGAUAUCUGUGUUCAUAUCUUAUCCUUAACCCUGCCCCUGGAGCCGGUGAAUCCUUUUGGUCAAGACCAAGAUUUGCUCAGCUGUUUCAUUGGGCCAGUGUUUGAAUCAGAGGCUGUUGUGCUUGAAAAUCCCAGGAGAUCAGCUGCUUCAGAAAUACUCAAACCGGCCCAUCUGCACCUGCAAGAUCACAUUUUACCCAACUGUGAUGUCAGAUGUGAACAUUUACUGAAGAUCUUGACCUGUAUCUUCAUGAUCUUAUGCACUGCUUUGCUGCAAUGUGAUUGGCUUAUUAGAUAGUUGCAUGAAUGAGCAAGUGUACAUGUGUUCCUAAUAAAUUGUCUGGCGAGUGUAUGAAUUGAGUUUGUCGUUUUUAUUUUUUAGCAUGUUUAGUCCAAAGAGCACAUACUGGACACAACCAUUGUAAUUAUAAUACAUUUUUUGUUUUUACAAAAAUUGAACACACUGAUAUUUGUGUCUACAAACGUGUAGAUACACAACGAGUAUUGAUUUGAACACCUUUGUUUAGAGAAUACACAGAAUUAAAGCAGGAAGGAUGUCUUAAGAACAUUUGGUUAAGGUUCCCUCUGUUUCAAGGUUCUCUCCAGCAAGCACUUUAUCCUGGUAACGGUGCUGGUGGAUCCUGAGCCUUUUGGUUGGGAUGCCAGUCCAGUGCAGGGCACCAUGCACAUACAUUCACACACUCGUUCACACCCAAGGGCUAUUAAGUAUUGACAUUCCACCUACUGGCAUGUUUUUGUGGAAUGCUAAGAAACCAGAGAACCUGGAGAUAGUAACUCGAACUCAGGAUCCUUGGAGAGUCAUUGUGACCUUCUCUUCUGAAUUCAAAACACAAACUAUUCAGUAAAUUCUAUAUGAGUACAAGUAUGUAUCACAAAUAUUUUUCUUCAGUGACCUUUGUUACCAUACCUUAUGGUAGGAGGUCUUAUAAUAUCAUCUGUUUACUUGGACAACAUCUUCAGUGCCAGAUGUGGGAAGAUGUGUGGAUGCUUUGUGCGCAAAACCAUGUUAAACCUUCAGCAUAAGAACAUACGGAAGUACGAAGGUUCAAAACUGUACAACAGUGUUAGGCACCCUAAAUUCAUAAUUAAUAAAUUUUUUUGGUAAAGAAAUUAAACAUGGUUAGCACAUUUACCUGGUUUGGGGUUGGAAUCCAGUCUCCACCCUGUGUGUGCAGAGUUUGCGUGUUCUCCCCAUGCUUUUUGGAGCUCCCUCCAGGUACUCUGGUUUCCUCCUCCAGUCCCCAGUCCAAAGACAUGCAUUGUAGACUGAAUGGCAUUUCCAAAUUGUCCAUAGUGUGUGAAUGUGUGUGCGAUUGUGCCCAGCUAUGGGUUGGUACCCUGUCCAGGGUGUCCCCCGCCUUGUGCCCCGGUCCCCUGGGAUAGACUCCAGGCUCCCCAUAACCCUGUGUAGGAUAAGCCAGUGCAAGAUUUCACAAUUUUGCAAUCGCAGAAAUGAACGCAAAAUCAAGCAAACUCCGCAAUAUUCAGAUGGGCUUACGUUUUUUCAAAAUUACUGCAGAUUUUGCACAGAUUUGGGCCAAGAUGUGUCAUGUGAUGUCUUCACGAUGCGCAUGAACCCAAGCCCUCUUUGAUUCAGUUGUGUCGAGCAUGAGUACAGCUGAAAGGUCUAAUUUACCAACACCCAUCAUCUGUGAAAGAACAUGCAAUUGCAAUUUUGCCAAUUCAAGUAGUUUUCCGGAAACAAAGCCCAAAAAACUCUGCAAAUUACAUUGCAAAUUUUGAAAAAAGCUGCAGCAAAAUCACCAAAAACUCCACGCAAUCCUGUAGGGACUGAUGAGCGGUAUGGAACAUGGAUGGAAUGGGAGGAAUGGUCCAGAGACCUUUUUUUAUUUUGUUAAGAAGGAU
ensembl:lncRNA